UCUGCAGCUCCUCUGCGGAGCGACGCGCUGCGCCGGGAGCUCCUCCGGUCCGGCGUGUGGCAGGAAACUCUCCUGGUCCCUGCGGAGAGGAUCCGUGGACCCUCCAGCUGGGCAGCGCUGUCCCCACAAUGACGUGCAGGGGCAGGUCAGCUCUGGGAGGUGGCUCCUCCCACACCCUCACAGGAGUGGGUGUUUCACAUCCAAUCAGGAGCAGGAGUGUUUUGGCAAGUGCCUGAGGCUCCCCCGGAGGGGGACUGGCAGACAGGCGGAGCGGCAGCCGGAAACUCUCCGAAGUCAGCUGUCGUCGUUGUUUAUUGAUUAUUUUCACUGAAAUUACUUGGCAUAGUCGGCAGGAUAUCAGAAAAACCCGCCUGAAGUCACCUGGAUAUACUUUGGACCGGUGCUCGGAAGACCAAGCCUGGGCCCUUUGAGCCCCUCUGGCUUCAAAGUACCCUUCAGGUGCUCUGAUGAUAUCAUCCAAAUGAAUUCAUAGGGCUUCCCUGGUGGCGCAGUGGUUGAGAGUCCGCCUGCCGAUGCAGGGGACACGGGUUCGUGCCCCAGUCCGGGGAGAUCCCACAUGCCGCGGAGCGGCUGGGCCCGUGAGCCAUGGCUGCUGAGCCUGCGCGUCCGGAGCCUGGGGGAGGCCACAACAGUGAGAGGCCUGCGUACCGCAAAAAAAAAAAAAAAAAAAGCUAUGUUGGAGGCUUUCAAGACAGCAGAGUGGAAGGACCUUGAGCUUACCUCCUUCUCAUGAACACACCAAUAUCAAAACUGACUGCUGGAACAACCACUGAUUAGAAACAAGACUGGAACCUACCGAAAAAUAUCUUCUACAUCUAAAGGCAUAAAGAAUACACCACAAUGAGACGGUUGGAGGGGUGUACUCGCAAUAUAAUCAAAUCCCCCCAUCCCCCCACCAGUGAAGUGAGGGCAGUAUGUUUGUUAGGUGAGUUGGUUGAAUCCUAUAUGCUUUGACUUGUUUUGGGGGUUUGGCAGGGUGAUAAUGGUAUAUAAAGUAUGAGAAUUAGUGGGGUAUGGGUUUGAUUAAGCAAGCUGUUUACCAGAUAUGAGUGUGCCUGUGUGGUAUGUGUGUAAUUGCUCUAUAUCCUGUGACCAUUGACGCAAUAACAUAUUAUGGUAGAUGAUGUUGGAAAAUAAUACUCAAUGCAAGCUCAGCUACAAGUUUCUCAGCUGUGUUAAGACCUCUGAUGGCCAAAGCUGAGUCACAGCAUGCCCCCCAAUUUAAAAAUACCAAAAGCAUGAAACCAGUUAUGUGUGAACAUGGCUGAUUAGUCAUUAGUCCAUCGAGGUAUAUUAUUGAAGAGGAAAGAGUAGGCAAUUUUAGGUGAGAUGGUCCUGAAGUAGUAAGAACCAGAUGCCAGAUAUAGUUCAUUUAUAGAAAUCCUCAUGGUUCAUUGGCCUAGAACGAGGAGAGAGGCAUGUUUGUGGAUGGGUUGAUUGUGGCUUGAUGAUUAAGCUCUGGUUAUCGGUUGUGAUAAGCAUGAUGACUGGAAAUGAUUUGACUUUAUGUGAUAUGUGUGAUUAAUAAACAUAUGUCCUGUAUAAUAUCAAUCACUUCAAUUACCCCUGGAAUCUAAUGUGAGUUGAACUGUUUAAUGUGUAUGUAAUAUCAAUAGGCUGAUGUACUUGCUUAUAUACAUGGGAUAAUUAAUUUAUGAUUACAUAUCAUGUAUUAUGCAUAAGAAGGUGUAUAUACUUACAUAUGUGGAAGGGCACAAAAUGCACAAAGUACAUAGUAAUGUUAGUUUUCAAGAUGUCAUUUUUAAAUACUUACACAGUACUUAAAGACAGUGUUAAUGUCCCAUAAGCAAGCUGUUCAGGGAAUCGUUGAAGUGGAAUUUCAGCUUUGGGUGUUUAUGGUGGGGCUGGAGCUUCUUCCUCGAGUCUUAGGGAAAAAUGUUGUUUUCCUUUUCUGGUUUAGAAGAACAAAGUAAUAAAUUUACUACAAAGACUCUUCAUUU